UAACUAUCUUCUCUCUACAGUCCAAAGUAGCACUAUAUGCAGAUAGCCAAUCCAUCCCUAGAAUGACAUCAAAAUCUGUCAAGUCUAGAACCACAAGGUCAGCUGGAAGGCAUCUACCCUCUAUGAACACUGGACUGAAACGACAGACUGACACUGCCACUGAUGGAUCACAUUUAGGUCCACUGACCCAGAGAGGAUACUCUAACUCAGAACUGAUCAAACCCAAUCUCUCUAUGGCUCUCGAAGCAAUAAAGGAAUGAGAAGCACCGGGGUCCAUCAAAGCAU
rnacentral:lncRNA from 1 species